rnacentral:lncRNA from 1 species
AUGGCUUCUGGUGCUUUGACAAAACCUCCAAUGCAUAGCCUUCUGGUUAAGCGUCUGUGAUUUCAUAUUAUUGGAGCAUUCAUGGUAUCCCUGGUGGUUGCAGCUUUCUACAAGAUUGCUAUGGCCGAACCAAGAAAGAAGGCAUACGCAGAUUUCUACAGAAAUUAUGAUUCCAUAAAAGAUUUUGAGAUGAGGAAGGCUGGUAUCUUUCAGAGUACAAAGUGA